UGUCGUCAGCUCGUGUUGUGAAAUGUUGGGUUAAGUCCCGCAACGAGCGCAACCCUUAUCCUUUGUUGCCAGCGGUCCGGCCGGGAACUCAAAGGAGACUGCCAGUGAUAAACUGGAGGAAGGUGGGGAUGACGUCAAGUCAUCAUGGCCCUUACGACCAGGGCUACACACGUGCUACAAUGGCGCAUACAAAGAGAAGCGACCUCGCGAGAGCAAGCGGACCUCAUAAAGUGCGUCGUAGUCCGGAUUGGAGUCUGCAACUCGACUCCAUGAAGUCGGAAUCGCUAGUAAUCGUGGAUCAGAAUGCCACGGUGAAUACGUUCCCGGGCCUUGUACACACCGCCCGUCACACCAUGGGAGUGGGUUGCAAAAGAAGUAGGUAGCUUAACCUUCGGGAGGGCGCUUACCACUUUGUGAUUCAUGACUGGGGUGAAGUCGUAACAAGGUAACCGUAGGGGAACCUGCGGUU
rnacentral:rRNA from 2 species